CAAAAAAUGUAUACUUAAUUCCAACUCACCCAGCUGGCAAAGAAUCUUACUUAAUUUACUUCACAGACAUAACCCUGGGUUUGAAUAAUUUGAGAUCACUACAAACUCAGUAGCUGAAGAUGUCACGGAUUUUAUUCUCUUAUAGUUCUGGAUCUCUGAGAUCCUGAGGAAUGAGCCUGGGACCUUGCAUAUGCUAAGCACACACCCUACCACUGAGCUACCUCUCCAGCCCACAGUGACCAUUAUAUUCUGACUCACUUGUUUUGUUAAGUUUAAAAUUUGAUUUGUAUUCUACACUUUUCUAGACUUACAAUGAAUGCUUAUUAGUUAUAAUAAGAUAUUUAAAUAAAUGUAAAACAUAAGCAUCAAAUUAAGUCUCACCAGUAAAAGCCCACAAACCAAC
ensembl:lncRNA